AACGAACGCUGGCGGCAUGCCUAACACAUGCGAGUCGAACGAGACCUUCGGGUCUAGUGGCGCACGGGUGCGUAACGCGUGGGAACCUGCCCUUAGGUUCGGAAUAACUCCCCGAAAGGGGUGCUAAUACCGGUUAAUGUCUUCGGACCAAAGAUUUAUCGCCUUUGGAUGGGCCCGCGUUGGAUUAGCUAGUUGGUAGGGUAAAAGCCUACCAAGGCGACGAUCCAUAGCUGGUCUGAGAGGAUGAUCAGCCACACUGGGACUGAGACACGGCCCAGACUCCUACGGGAGGCAGCAGUGGGGAAUAUUGGACAAUGGGCGAAAGCCUGAUCCAGCAAUGCCGCGUGAGUGAUGAAGGCCUUAGGGUUGUAAAGCUCUUUUACCCGGGAUGAUAAUGACAGUACCGGGAGAAUAAGCUCCGGCUAACUCCGUG
rnacentral:rRNA from 1 species